rnacentral:pre_miRNA from 1 species
UUUUAUGGAUGAACAAAGAAAGUGUUUUAUUGAGAUGGAACCUACUCUUGGUGAAGAUACUGUGAA